GUAAGCUUUAACAACGAAAACGCUAUCGUAAGCCAGAAUGGCGAAAAAAGAAAAAUAAAUUGUUUGUAUUUGAGUGUAUUAACAACGCGUGUUUUGGUGCAGCACAGUGCAGUGGCACUUGAGACGUCUAAUUAUUGAAAUUGGCUGUGGCAAGGCUUGUACACCAAAAAUAAAAAAUGGCGACAAUCUCAGCGCACAGAAUCUCGCUAAGAAUCCAGUUUACCAUAACAGGUCAAAGCACAUCGACAUCAGAUAUUAUUUCGUCCGAGAAGUUGUCCAGAGUGGUGACAUAGAAUUAAAAAUCACAUUGAGGAAGCGUGUUGAAAAUAAGCCCGUUUCCAAUACGGCUCUGUAACAGCAAACAUGCAUAAAUGUACAAAACGAACACGUCUAUGAUUUUUUCGCUCUAACUGUUCAUUCCUGUUAAAUACUUAGAAUAAAGCGGAAUCUCAACAAUAUUCAACUAUAUUUAUCCUCAAAAUAUACAAUGAACUCUGCAAAUAAUUUUUUAAUGCCGGAUGGUUGGCAACUCUAUUUUCACUACGGUGCAAACACUUUGCUAGCCAUUUUAGAUAUAACAGUUUUGCCGUUAAGUCCUUUGCGUGUGCUAAUAAAUAAAAUGAGAUGCCUAUAAUAAAAAAAUGCUUCAAAAGAUCUUAUACUGAGCUGUUUCUUAAAAAAUUAAUCAAAAGUUGCUAAUGUACAUAGACCCACAGUUAAAUUAUUAAUUUUUAUAGGAGACAUACUUAUACUUCGUAAAAAUUGACAAAUACUAAAAGUUGAUAACAUUCUUAAGUGUGUAUAUAAAUAAGAUAAAUGUGAGGUAGAGAAAUAAUCAUUGAAAGUUACAAAGGGAGUGACUUCAUGCACAUGCGCAAAAAUUAUGUUACGGUAUUUCUCCAAUGACCUCAGCGAACAUGGUAUUGCAAUAAUCUUUGUAUGUACAUAUAAACAUACAUACGUAUGUACAAAAAUUGAUAAUAUAUCAACGAAACAAUAUGAUGAGCGUGAAUCGACGGCUUCAAAAUCGUCUAUGGCCACUAUAUACAUAUAAUAAAAAAACUUAACAAUUGGUUAAUCUGGUAAUGGAGAAUUGCUUUUAUA